rnacentral:rRNA from 1 species
GUAGGUGGCAAGCGUUGUCCGGAAUUAUUGGGCGUAAAGCGCGCGCAGGGCGGUUCUUUAAGUCUGAUGUGAAAGCCCACGGCUCAACCGUGGAGGGUCAUUGGAAACUGGAGAACUUGAGUACAGAAGAGGAAAGCGGAAUUCCACGUGUAGCGGUGAAAUGCGUAGAGAUGUGGAGGAACACCAGUGGCGAAGGCGGCUUUCUGGUCUGUAACUGACGCUGAGGCGCGAAAGCGUGGGGAGCAAACAGGAUUAGAUACCCUGGUAGUCCACGCCGUAAACGAUGAGUGCUAAGUGUUAGGGGGUUUCCGCCCCUUAGUGCUGCAGCUAACGCAUUAAGCACUCCGCCUGGGGAGUACGACCGCAAGGUUG